rnacentral:rRNA from 1 species
AGUCACUGACAUUAGAUACCCGCGUAGUCCAGGGUGUAAACGCCGCAGACUUGGUGUUGGAAGUCCUUUGGGGGCAUUCAGUGCCGGAGAGAAGUUGUUAAGUCUGCUACUUGGGGAGUACGUCCGCAAGGAUGAAACUUAAAGGAAUUGGCGGGGGAGCACCGCAACGGGAGGAGCGUGCGGUUUAAUUGGAUUCAACACCGUAAACUCACCAGGGAAGACUGUUACAUGAAGGCCGAGAUGAAGACUCUGCUAGAUUUUCAG